rnacentral:rRNA from 1 species
CCUACGGGAGGCUGCAGUAACGAAUCUUCCGCAAUGCACGCAAGUGUGACGGAGCGACGCCGCGUGUAGGAUGAAGUCCUUCGGGAUGUAAACUACUGUCAGGGGAAAGAAAGUUCUGAUCUACCCCAGAGGAAGAGACGGCUAACUCUGUGCCAGCAGCCGCGGUAAUACAGAGGUCUCGAGCGUUAGGCGGAAUCACUGGGCUUAAAGCGUGUGUAGGCGGAUCGUUAAGUGCCUUGUGAAAUCCCACGGCUCAACCGUGGAACUGCUUGGCAUACUGGCGGUCUUGAGCAACCUAGGGGCGAGCGGAACAAAUGGUGGAGCGGUGAAAUGCGUAGAUAUCAUUUGGAACGCCAAUGGUGAAAACAGCUCGCUGGGGGUUUGCUGACGCUGAGACACGAAAGCCAGGGGAGCAAACGGGAUUAGAUACCCUGGUAGUC